AUCUGGUUGAUCCUGCCAGUAGUCAUACGCUCAAGUCAAAGAUUAACCCAUGCAUGUGCAAGUAUAAACAUUUAUACUGUGAAACUGCGAACGGCUCAUUAUAUCAGCUAUAGUCUAUUUGGUAAUGUCUACUACUUGGAUACUCGUAGUAAUUCUAGGGUCAAUACAUGCAUAAAUGCCCAACUUUUCGGACGGGCAGUAUUUAUUUGAUAUAAACCAAUCGCUUCUGGCGUUUUGUGGUGAUUCAAAGUAACUAAGCGGACCGCAGUGCCUUUUGGCGGCGGUGGACCAUUCGAGUUUCUGCCCUAUCAGUUGUCGUAGGUAGUGUAUUGGACUACCUAGACCUUUACGGGUGACGGAGAAUUGGGGUUCGAUUCCGGAGAAGAAGCCUGAGAGACGGCUACUACAUCCAAGGAAGGCAGCAGGGGCGCAAAUUACCCAAUGGUGACACGCCGAGGUAGUGACAACCAAUAUCGUUGCGGAGCCCUUAUGGGUUUUGCUAUGAAAUGAGUGCAAUCUAAAAUACUCAACGAGGAUCAAUUGGAGGGCAAGUCUGGUGCCAGCAGCCGCGGUAAUUCCAGCUCCGUUAGCGUAUAUUAAAUUUGUUGCAGUUAAAAAGCUCGUAGUUGAAUUUCUGGUAGGAGUGACCUGGCCUUUGACGAAUGUCAAUGUUUGCUGUGUGUCAUCUCUGGCCAUCCUCGGCCUGCUUUUAGUAGGCCGUCAUUUACUGUAAAAAAAUUAGAGUGUUUCAAGCAUUUUGUAUGAAAAGAAUAUAUUAGUAUGGAAUAAUAAGAUAGGACUUUGGUGCUAUUUUGUUGGUUUGCACACCAAAGUAAUGAUGAAUAGGGACAGUUGGGGGUAUUCGUAUUUAAUUGUCAGAGGUGAAAUUCUUGGAUUUAUGAAAGACGAACUACUGCGAAGGCAUUUACCAAGGAUGUUUUCAUUGAUCAAGAACGAAAGUAUGGGGAUCGAAGAUGAUUAGAUACCAUCGUAGUCUAUACUUCAAACUAUGCCGACUUGCGAUUGUCUGGUGGUGUUUUUUGGCCCCAGGCAGCAGCACAUGAGAAAUCAAAGUCUUUGGGUUCCGGGGGGAGUAUGGUCGCAAGGCUGAAACUUAAAGGAAUUGACGGAAGGGCACCACCAGGAGUGGAGCCUGCGGCUUAAUUUGACUCAACACGGGGAAACUUACCAGG
rnacentral:rRNA from 1 species